rnacentral:lncRNA from 1 species
UAAUAUAGUAAAUCACGGAUUAAUUAGGGAUAAUAUAGGCAAACAUGUCAUCUAUUUUUUAAAUUAAAUAUUAUUAAUUUUUUAAUAUAUAAAUGGCUUAUAAUAAUUAAUUAGGGACGAUAUAAUAAAACGUCAUAAAUAUCUAUUUUUAAAACUAAAUAUUAUUAAUUCUAAUAUAUAAAUGACUUACAAUAAUUAAUUAGGGAUAUAGUAAAAAAAUAUUAUUAAUUUUAAUAUAGAAACAACUUAUAAUAAUUAAUUAGGGGUAAUAUAGUAAAUCAUAGAGCAAAUAGGGAUAAUAUAGACAGACAUGCCAUCUAUUUUUUAAUUAAAUAUUAUUAAUUUUUAAUUAUAUAAAUGACUUAUAAUAAUUAAUUAGGGAUGAUAUAGUAAAAUCACGGUUAAAGUAGUUGAAACAAAUGUCAUAAAUAUCUAUUUUUUUAAUUAAAUAUUAUUAAUUCUAAUAUAUAAAUGACUUAUAAUAAUUAAUUAGAGUUAAUAUAAUAAAAAAAAUACUAUUAAUUCUAAUAUAUCAAUGACUUAUAAUAAUUAAUUAGGGGUAAUAUAUAAAUCAUGGAGCAAAUAAGGGUAAUAUAGUAAAUGACGAAGCAGUGGUCGAAACCAAAUUACUUAUAAUAAUUAAUUAGAGGUAAUAUAGUAAAUUACGGAGCAAUUAGGGGUAAUAUAGGCAGACAUGUCAUCUAUUUUUAAUUAAAUAUUAUUAAUUUUUUAAUACAUAAAUGACUUGUAAUAAUUAAUUAGGGAUGAUAUAGUAAAAUCACGAUUAAAGCAGCUGAAAAAACGUCAUAAAUUUCUAGUUCUUAAUUAAAUAUAUUAAUUAUAAUAUAUAAAUGACUUAUAAUAAUUAAUUAGGGGUAAUAUAAUUAAAAAAAUUAUUAAUUCUAAUAUAUAAAUGACUUAUAAUAAUUAAUUAGGGGUAAUAUAGUAAAUCACGGAGCAAUUAGGGAUAAUAUAGUAAAUGACGAAGCACUGGUNNNNN